rnacentral:snoRNA from 1 species
UGUGCUUCUUCCUGCUGGUGUGUUUAAAGAACAGUGCAAUAGAAAUUCACUAUCUGGCAUCAUUGGUUUUCUUGGCUUUGGUGUCUAUUAAACCUGGUAUUUCUAUUGAUACAGUU